ACAUUUGGGUCUUUUGCAGAAGAAAGUCGAGCUGAAGGAAAUGUCAGCAGUCAUAUUUAUCUUAAAUACUUCACUGCAAGCUGCAGCCUUCUGGCUUUAAUGGUUAUUGUUCUGCUCAGUAUCAUCGCAGAGGCUGCCUAUAUCCUGCAGGACUGGUGGUUGGUGUACUGGGCAAGAGAAGAAUAUUCUAACAGCACGGCAGCUGCUGCUGGCAUGAAGAACGGGAAUGUCACUCAGUCAGAUCGAGAGUUGAAUCUCACAGUUUAUCUUGGCAUUUACUCAGGUUUGACAGCAGCUGCUGUGGUCUUAAGUUAUGCCCGGAGUCUCAUCAUAUUUCAUGGGUUGGUGAGAUCAGCUCAGAUUCUGCACAACCGCAUGUUCAGUUCUGUUGUUCGCACACCCAUUCACUUUUUUGAUGUGAACCCCAUAGGUGAGCCCUAUUCAGGAUUAUUUUGAGUUUUUUAAGAAAAGUAAUGAGUCACAUUUAUAUUGUCGCUUGAAAGUCUGUGGAGCCUUUAGAAUAUUCUGUGUUUCUGCAUAAACAAACAAUGACCUAAAAUAACAUUGAUUGUUCAGAAAAGUCCAAAGAGUAGAUGAAGAGAAACCAGUUUAACAAAUGAGGCAAAGUAGUAGUAAGUUGAAUCUCAGUUUGGUCGGGUGUUUUCAGUCAAUAGCAUGACAAUGUGUGUGAGUGGGCCUCCUGUUGUAUUGUAUUGACAGCAAAGUGCGAUUAUAAUGAUAUAUUAGUGGAAGUGUAUCACGACACAAAUAGAGGAGAUCUCUGAGGACCACAACAAAAGAACCUUCACCAAUAUACAAUCAAGCCAGGCUCAGACUAUUACAGGUGCAUCUCGUAUAAUUGAAAUAUGGUGGAAAAAGUUUGAUAUUUUCAUCGUCUAUUCUUUGAAGGGAAAGCUGUAUAUACUCUAGUCAUUACACAUAAAUUGAAAUAUUUCAAGCCUUUAUUUAUUUUAACUUUGAUGACAACAGCUCAUAAAACCUCUCCAAAAUGUAUCUCGAAAUGUUAGGAUCAACACCAACAGAUGACAUGGCACCCAAAUCACCACUGACUGUGAAAACUUCACAUUGGACUUGUGAGGCUGUGACUCUCCACUCUUCCUCCAGACUCUGGGACCUUGUUUUCUAAAACUUCCAAAUUUACUUUUGUCUGAAAAGAGGACUUUGGACCGUUUAGCAACGGUCCAGUUCUUUCUCAGCUUCACCCAGGUAAGAUGCUUCUGGCGUCGUUUAGUCUUUAAGGAAUUCCACACUUGUAACCCGUUUCCCAAACACGUCUGUGCUUGGUGGCUCUGGAUGCACUGACUUCAGCCUCAGUCCAAUGCUUGUAAAUCUCCUCUACAUUCCUCAUUCUGCUGUUGUUGACAGUCCUCUCAAGUAUGCAUUCAUCUGUUUUUCUUGUGCAGCUUUUCCUGCUGCAUUUUUUCCCUCCAGUCAACUUUCCAUUAAUAUGCUUUGACGCAGCACUCUGUGAACAACCAGCCCCUUCAGCAAUGUUCUUACUUUUGAGUCUUACCCUCCUUAUGGAAGGUGUCUUCAGGACAGCUGUCAAGUCGGCAGUCUUCUCCAUGAUUGUGGUUGUGUGUACUGAACCUGACUGAGAAAUUCAAGGCUCUUUGCAGGUCUUUUGAGAAAAUUAGCUUAUUAGAGUUCUUCUUAGGACUGUGUGGGAGUCUCUAGGGUCCCUUGGGUGACAUUUCUGUGGCCCUCUGUGAAAUAUUGCAAGAAUUUGUGGUGGGGGGUCAUGAGCUGUAAGCCGUUGUCAUCCACUCUGAGACAAAAUAAAGGCUUGACUUACUUCAGUUUCUGUGUAAUGACUCUAGAAUAUAUAGUUUUCACUUUGCGCAAUGUCUAAUGAAAAUAUUGAACUUUUGCCACUGUAUGAAACUCUGAGAUGCACCUGGAGAAUUUUAAAAUCCUAAUAGACUGUAAAAUAUGUUUCCAUCACUCACACAAGUGGGAACUUUUGUAGUAACAAUCCAAGAUUUAAAAAUCUUGGUCUGUCACACACUGUAAGAGAGUAUUAAGAUUAUGGUGUCUGAGGGAGCAUUCAGGGAACGAUGCACCAACUCAUGAUGUCACAAGGAAGCAGAUGGAAAUAAGACAAAUACUGUGGUGCAACUCUACUACUUACACUUUGCAAUAAAACAAAGAAGAAGGAUCAUAAAGUCAUUAGGGUAAUGUGAUCAGCACAAUUUGUCUGUUCUUCAGUUAGCACAAAAGAUACAGUUUUAAGACCAUUUUAAUAUCUGUACUAACAUUAGCCUCAAGCAUGUUUUGUAUGUUUAACGACAACAGUAUCUGCUGCUGCGGUUUGCACUGUGAGAAUUUUAAUGAUCCCAGUUUUAUCUUGCAUAGGACGUGCUUAGAGUUGUUUCUCGCUGACUCAUUUUCCCUUUAAUUGCUCUUCAACACUGAUUUAUGAUCAGUGUAAUUUACAUUUAUGAUCUCUGUCUUAUUAAAGGGACUUAAUUUGAUUGUCUAAAGCAGGGGUCGGCAACCCGCGGCUCCGGAGCCGCAUGCGGCUCUUUUAGCCCUCUGUUGUGGCUCCCUGUAACUUUGGAAAAUAAAUUGUUCUGCCUUUCAGGCGCGUUUCAAUGCGUUUUAAUACAGAGAAUUUUAUUAUGAAAUUACCGCUCUUAUAUUGACGUGUCACUCCACCGGAUGUGCUGCUGGGGUUUUUCCCCCGGGACAUGAGAGCGCAAAAGUGAUGCAGAGAAGAUGGAGAAGCAACGCCUGUAGUUUCACAUCGUUUUGUACUCAAGAAUGGCAAGCCUGUAUAUUAAAGCUCCACUCCAAGAAAGACACGUCUUGUCUUUGAGUUAAAAGUACUCAUGAUAGGGUAAUACACGUUACUCACAAGAACACGGCUCGAUGUCCAGGCAGCAGGUCAGAGAGUCAGAGGAGUGUCGUCUUGGAAAGUAGGGCAGCGACUUACCGGAGAAAAGUUAUUAGCUUAAGAUAAAUAGAUAAAUAGAUUUUACAAUAGACAUUCGAAAAAUAUUGAGUUCCAGCUAACAUUGGGUCCAGGAGCAAAAAUGACAUUAACCAAGUAAGAUAAAUAUUAGUGGAAGGACACAAUUUAAAAAAAUGAAUCUAUCUAAUUAGAGGCUUUGUAAUUAAUUAAUCACGAGUGAUUAACAAGGACAUAGAGGUAAAAAAAAAAAAGC